AGAGUUUGAUCCUGGCUCAGAUUGAACGCUGGCGGCAUGCCUUACACAUGCAAGUCGAACGGCAGCACGGGAGCAAUCCUGGUGGCGAGUGGCGAACGGGUGAGUAAUACAUCGGAACGUGCCCAAUAGUGGGGGAUAGCCCGGCGAAAGCCGGAUUAAUACCGCAUACGACCUGAGGGUGAAAGCAGGGGAUCGCAAGACCUUGCGCUAUUGGAGCGGCCGAUGUCAGAUUAGCUAGUUGGUGGGGUAAAGGCCUACCAAGGCUACGAUCUGUAGUUGGUCUGAGAGGACGACCAGCCACACUGGGACUGAGACACGGCCCAGACUCCUACGGGAGGCAGCAGUGGGGAAUUUUGGACAAUGGGCGCAAGCCUGAUCCAGCAAUGCCGCGUGCAGGAAGAAGGCCUUCGGGUUGUAAACUGCUUUUGUCAGGGAAGAAAUCUUCUGGGCUAAUACCUCGGGAGGAUGACGGUACCUGAAGAAUAAGCACCGGCUAACUACGUGCCAGCACCGCGGUAA
rnacentral:rRNA from 1 species